rnacentral:tRNA from 1 species
GCAGGUAUAACUCAGUGGUAGAGUGCUUGCCUACCUAGCAUGCACAAGGUCCCAGGUUCAAUCCCCAGUACUUCCA